rnacentral:lncRNA from 1 species
CAAUCUUUCCCACCCUCAACACCUAAACGUCCACCUCCUCCAUCUUCGGUACAGUCACCACAACCUGUCAACUCUACCCGACCACCAUCAAGGAACUGAAUCACCAAUAAUCGUUGAGUUUUGGUGGAAAAAAUUGAGCAAAACAGUUAUAAUGAGGGAAAAAGCUGAAUCUUUUCGGGAACCAAAAAUUAAUUGCCAAAAACUACUCCAGUAAGCAUAGUGUUAAAACAUACAAAAAAAUAAUUUUGUGUGUGGUAGUAGCGAUGGUGGCUGUGGUGGGCAAUACAACGUCGUGUGGAUUGGGGCAGUGGUUGGCGGUGAUUGAUUUUGUGAUAUUUAUGUUUCGGGAUGGAUGAGUGGGGGUGGGAUGUUUGGGGA